rnacentral:rRNA from 1 species
GAUGAACGCUGGCGGCGUGCCUAAUACAUGCAAGUCGAGCGAACGGACGAGAAGCUUGCUUCUCUGAUGUUAGCGGCGGACGGGUGAGUAACACGUGGAUAACCUACCUAUAAGACUGGGAUAACUUCGGGAAACCGGAGCAAAUACCGGAUAAUAUUUUGAACCGCAUGGUUCAAAAGUGAAAGACGGUCUUGCUGUCACUUAUAGAUGGAUCCGCGCUGCAUUAGCUAGUUGGUAAGGUAACGGCUUACCAAGGCAACGAUGCAUAGCCGACCUGAGAGGGUGAUCGGCCACACUGGAACUGAGACACGGUCCAGACUCCUACGGGAGGCAGCAGUAGGGAAUCUUCCGCAAUGGGCGAAAGCCUGACGGAGCAACGCCGCGUGAGUGAUGAAGGUCUUCGGACCGUAAAACUCUGUUAUUAGGGAAGAACAUAUGUGUAAGUAACUGUGCACAUCUUGACGGUACCUAAUCAGAAAGCCACGGCUAACUACGUG